rnacentral:rRNA from 1 species
UACAGAGGUCCCGAGCGUUGUUCGGAUUCACUGGGCGUAAAGGGUGCGUAGGUGGCGAGGUAAGUCGGAUGUGAAAGCUCGGAGCUCAACUCCGAAAUGGCAUUGGAAACUACCUUGCUUGAGGGUUGGAGGGGGGUAGAAUUCCACGUGUAGCAGUGAAAUGCGUAGAGAUGUGGAGGAACACCGAUGGCGAAGGCAGCCCCCUGGGACCUGACUGACGCUCAUGUACGAAAGCGUGGGGAGCAAACAGG